rnacentral:rRNA from 1 species
GUUGAAGGUGCCGUAACAGGUACUGGAGGACCGAACCCACUAGUGUUGCAAAACUAGGGGGAUGAGCUGUGGAUAGGGGUGAAAGGCUAAACAAACUUGGAAAUAGCUGGUUCUCUCCGAAAACUAUUUAGGUAGUGCCUCACGUAUCACUCUCGGGGGUAGAGCACUGUCAUGGCUAGGGGGUCAUCGCGACUUACCAAACCAUAGCAAACUCCGAAUACCGAGAAGUGCGAGCGUGGGAGACAGACAUCGGGUGCUAACGUCCGGUGUCAAGAGGGAAACAACCCAGACCGCCAGCUAAGGUCCCAAAUGACGUGCUAAGUGGUAAACGAAGUGGGAAGGCAUAGACAGCCAGGAUGUUGGCUUAGAAGCCAGCCCACCCUUUUAAAGAAAGCGUAAUAGCUCACUAGUCGAGUCGGCCUGCGCGGAAGAUGU